rnacentral:tRNA from 1 species
UCCUUUGUGGCUCAGAUGGUAAAGUAUCUGCCUGCAGUGCAGGAGACCCAGGUUCUAUCCCUGGCUCGGGAA